AUUCGACGUGGGCCCACGCUACACGCAGCUGCAGUACAUCGGCGAGGGCGCGUACGGCAUGGUCAGCUCAGCAUAUGACCACGUGCGCAAGACCAGAGUGGCUAUCAAGAAGAUCAGCCCCUUCGAGCAUCAAACCUACUGUCAGCGCACGCUGAGAGAAAUCCAGAUCUUGCUGCGAUUCCGCCAUGAGAAUGUCAUAGGCAUCCGAGACAUCCUCAGAGCACCCACCCUGGAAGCCAUGAGAGAUGUGUAUCCUUUAGCCACAGCUCCAGAGCGAGGCUAAGGAGCUUGGCUUUGCUUUCUGUUGUCGUCUGUUGUGCCACCCUCAAAAAAAAAAAAAAAAAA
rnacentral:lncRNA from 1 species